ensembl:lncRNA
AUGUGUUUUAGGGAGGUCAGAGGAGGGAGGGAAGAAUCCGUGGCCUAUACACAAAAAAUCAAACCUGCUACUUUAGCAUUAUCAGUAACCCACACUCUAUUGAAUUGCUCUGAAAAAAGAACUAGACCACACAGAAUGACUCUCAUUUUGUUUCUGUCACAAAAUUGCUGGCUUCAACACGCUUCAUACAAGCACAACUUAUUGGUGUCUCCCCUUGGGCCUGAUGCCUGUCCUAGAGCUUCUCAGGUUGUUUGCCCAAGGCUGCCUGCUAGGCACUUGCUCGUGGAAUUGCCACCCAGAGCAAUGGACGAUGGAAGAGAAAUGUGCUUCCCGUUUCAUCUCCACAGAGCAAAGUUCUGAGAUGCAUUUCGUUAGGCACCUCAGAAAGUUCCACCAAACUGAAAAUGCAUUCUUGUAUUUGUUUUCCUCCCCCACUCCACUCUCCUGUCCCUCUCUUGCUUCUUGAGAUCAUUCCCAAACCAACUGCCUUUAUGCAGGCUUCUGUCUCUUGCUCUGCUUUAUGGGGAUACCUAGGCUACAGGUCCAUUCAAAAUACAUGUGCUUCUACAGCUUUGUCUACUGAUGUACUCCUUAUAGCAGAGCAGAAUAUACUUGGGGCAGAGAAGGGGGGAGAGGGGAAGAGGGAAGGUCUGCUAAGAGGGUUAGAGGAACAGACUUGAGGAUUGUGUGAAAUUUCUUUCAAGUUGGGUGGCCUAUAUUAAAAAUGCAUGUGAAUUCUGUGUUCUUCAAAGUGUUUCCAUGUAUGUUUUAAUAUUGACAUGUUAACUCCGUAAUAUCUCUGUAAUAACGGAAGUCCUACGACAGCUUAGGGGCUGGCCUCAACGCUCCCACUUGCCACAUCCAAACCACACUUCGGAACAUCCUGAAGGGCAAGUGUGAUCAAGUCAUCCCUUUGCUUACACCUGUUAAAGGGGCAGACCAUCUGAUGAAGCUGUGAAGGAGUGCAAACUCCUCACCAGGAUUUAUACGGUCUUGCAUAAUUUGGCCCAGGUUUAUCUCCCCAGACAUUUGCUAUCUUCUCCCUGACAUUUAUCAUCCAGCCAUAAUGAAUUUCUUUUAAUCCCUUAGAGCGCUCCCUGUUCUCUUGCCCCCCAGGGCAUUUGCUCAUUUUGUUAAAUCAGUCUGGAGUCCUCACCCGACUACUCUUCAACCUGCCUGGAGAUCAGUUCUUCAUUCCUCGGCUUCCCCCUUAGAAGUGAAUCCCCAUCUUUGUCUGAGUUAGACAUUCACCCAUGUUCCUGUUAUAUCCCAAUCUUCCCCAUUACCAUACAUUUAAUCCUUUUGUUCUUGCCUAUGAGUCUGGGUCUCCUGGGAAUGAAGCAUCCAGCCACAGGCCGCUCUACUGGUCCCUGCUGCAAGUGCCUUGCUCAGUACUGGGAACAAAGCUAAUGACUGCCAAGUUAGGUUCUUCUGAAUCACUGAGUUCAAAUAUUGUUUUUCACACCUGCUGGCUGUGUGACUUUGGGAAACUCUUGUGAGCUCUUAGUUUCUUUAUCUAUAAAUUGUGGAAAAUGAGAAUAUCCAAUUAUAGGAUAAUUAGGAAUAAAUAAUUGAUGCAAUUUCGUACA